rnacentral:lncRNA from 1 species
CAUUGAAGAAUUUCUACUUUGAAGUCUCAUGGAGAUCACCUUCUUACCAUAUUGUUUAUUUGAGGAAGUAUAAGUUUCGAACUCUUUGCAUGCUUGGAUUUUGUUUUGUUCGACAUCUACAAGGUGAUUCUAGAAUUUGAGUUUUGAUUCGGUAGUUUUAAUUAUUAAAGCUUUUGAUUUGUAUUUAAAAAAAAUUAAAAUUUAUAUUUCACUACAU